AGGUGGAAAAGAAGGAAAUACAAGAUCUGAAGGAUCCCCAAACGUCCAAGUGAGGCUGCAAAGUAGAGAAGACUUGAAUGGCCUUGUAUCUUCAAAGAAGCGCCUUGAGCUCUGGAAUGCAACAAAGUAGGAGAAACCACUGAACACCAGGAAAUGUCAACAAUGAGGCGGGAAUGCCUGGGCAGAUACUAGAUUGGAGAUAUAUGGCAGAGUAAGAUGAGAAAAAGAAUUAGAAAUCUAUUUAUUCAU